AUACGGAGGGGGCUAGCGUUGUUCGGAAUCACUGGGCGUAAAGCGCGCGUAGGCGGUCUAAAAAGUUGGGCGUGAAAGCCCAGGGCUUAACCCUGGAACUGCGCUCAAAACUAUUAGACUAGUAUCCGGUAGAGGGUAGUGGAAUUCCUAGUGUAGAGGUGAAAUUCGUAGAUAUUAGGAGGAACACCAGUGGCGAAGGCGACUGCCUGGGCCGGUAUAGACGCUAAGGCGCGAAAGCGUGGGGAGCAAACAGGAUUAGAAACCCCGGUAGUCC
rnacentral:rRNA from 1 species